CGGCAAUAAGGCCAGCUCCCAUCUCACUAUAACACAGCAAUAAGACCAGCUCCCAUCUCACUAUAACACGGCAAUAAGACCAGCUCCCAUCUCACUAUAACACGGCAAUAAGACCAGCUCCCAUCUCUCUAUAACACGGCAAUAAGGCCAGCUCCCAUCUCACUAUAACACAGCAAUAAGGCCAGCUCCCAUCUCACUAUAACACAGCAAUAAGG